GCCAAAGCUAGCCCAAACACCCCUACAACUCAACUACAAUAUACAAAUAAAUCAAAACAUUUAAUUAAUUCUUAAAAGUAUAGGAGAUAGAAAUUUAACUUGGCGCUAUAGAGAUAGUACCGCAAGGGAAAGAUGAAAGAAGUAUUAAAAGCACAAUAUAGCAAAGAUUACCCCUUGUACCUUUUGCAUAAUGAGUUAGCUAGACAUAAUCUAACAAAGAGAACUUAAGCUAGAUACCCCGAAACCAGACGAGCUACCCAUGAACAAUCUAUUAUAGGAUGAACUCGUCUAUGUUGCAAAAUAGUGAGAUGAUUUAUAGGUAGAGGUGAAACGCCUAACGAGCCUGGUGAUAGCUGGUUGCCCAGAAUAGAAUUUUAGUUCGACUUUAAACUUACCUAAAAAACUNNNNNNNNNNNNNNNNNNNNNNNNNNNNNNNNNNNNNNNNNNNNNNNNNNNNNNNNNNNNNNUACAGCCUUUUUUAGAGAGUAAGCAUUAAAAUAACCAUAGUUGGCUUAAAAGCAGCCAUCAAUUAAGAAAGCGUUCAAGCUCAACAAUUAAAAUAACUUAAUACCAAAAACAUGCAACCAACUCCUAAUAUGAAUACUGGGCUAAUCUAUUCAACAAUAGAAGAAAUAAUGCUAAUAUGAGUAACAAGAAUUAUUUCUCCUUGCAUAAGCUUAUAUCAGCAACGGAUAACCACUGAUAGUUAACAACAAGAUAUCUACAACCCAACAAUAAACCAAGUAUCAAUUUAAUUGUUAACCCAACACAGGUAUGCAAUCAAGGAAAGAUUAAAAGAAGUAAAAGGAACUCGGCAAACAUAAACCCCGCCUGUUUACCAAAAACAUCACCUCUAGCAUAUCUAGUAUUAGAGGCACUGCCUGCCCAGUGACAUUAGUUAAACGGCCGCGGUAUCCUGACCGUGCAAAGGUAGCAUAAUCAUUUGUUCCUUAAAUAGGGACUUGUAUGAAUGGCCACACGAGGGUUUUACUGUCUCUUACUUCCGAUCCGUGAAAUUGACCUUCCCGUGAAGAGGCGGGAAUAUAAUAAUAAGACGAGAAGACCCUAUGGAGCUUUAAUUAACUAAUCUAAGGAUAUUAAUAAUCCACCGACAGGUAUAACAAAAAUCCACAAUAGAUUAGCAAUUUAGGUUGGGGUGACCUCGGAGUACAAAAUAACCUCCGAGUGAUUUAAAUCAAGACUUACCAGUCAAAAAUAAUACAUCAUUUAUUGAUCCAAAAAAUAAUUUGAUCAACGGAACAAGUUACCCUAGGGAUAACAGCGCAAUCCUAUUCUAGAGUCCAUAUCGACAAUAGGGUUUACGACCUCGAUGUUGGAUCAGGACAUCCCGAUGGUGCAGCAGCUAUCAAAGGUUCGUUUGUUCAACGAUUAAAGUCCUACGUGAUCUGAGUUCAGACCGGAGCAAUCCAGGUCGGUUUCUAUCUAUUAAACAAUUUCUCCCAGUACGAAAGGACAAGAGCAAUAAGGCCCACUUCAUCAAAAGCGCCUUCAACCUAAUAGAUGAUAUAAUCUUAAUCUAUAAAGUUUCCCCUACUCACCUACCCAAGAGAUAGGGU
rnacentral:rRNA from 1 species